rnacentral:rRNA from 1 species
CCCUUAGAUGUUCUGGGCCGCACGCGCGCUACACUGAUUCAUGCAACAAGUUUUGUCCUCGGCUGAUAGGCCUGGGUAAUCUUUGAACGUGAAUCGUGAUGGGGAUAGAUGAUUGCAAUUAUUCAUCUUCAACGAGGAAUUCCUAGUAAACGCAAGUCAUCAGCUUGCAUUGAUUACGUCCCUGCCCUUUGUACACACCGCCCGUCGCACCUACCGAUUGAAUGGUCCGGUGAAAUCUUCGGAUCUGAGAGAUGUCUGAUUAAUUUCGGACGCCUUUUGGAAAAGUUGUUUAAACCUUACCAUUUAGAGGAAGGUGAAGUCGUAACA